UGAUGAUGUUGAUGAUGAUUCUGGUA
rnacentral:piRNA from 1 species